AACGAACGCUGGCGGCAGGCCUAACACAUGCAAGUCGAGCGAAGCCUUCGGGCUUAGCGGCGGACGGGUGAGUAACGCGUGGGAACGUGCCCUUUGGUACGGAAUAGCCCCGGGAAACUGGGAGUAAUACCGUAUGUGGUCGAGAGACGAAAGAUUCAUCGCCAAAGGAUCGGCCCGCGUUGGAUUAGGUAGUUGGUGGGGUAAUGGCCUACCAAGCCGACGAUCCAUAGCUGGUUUGAGGGGAUGAUCAGCCACACUGGGACUGAGACACGGCCCAGACUCCUACGGGAGGCAGCAGUGGGGAAUCUUAGACAAUGGGGGAAACCCUGAUCUAGCCAUGCCGCGUGAUCGAUGAAGGCCUUAGGGUUGUAAAGAUCUUUCAGUGGGGAAGAUAAUGACUGUACCCACAGAAGAAGCCCCGGCUAACUCCGUGCCAGCCGCCGCGGUAAAAC
rnacentral:rRNA from 1 species